AAAACUAUAGUUUGUUAACAAGAAUAUUGUGGCGUGGUUGAAAAAUGAGUUUGAAUGACUCCAACCUAAGUGCAUGUAAACUUCUGACUUCAACUGUAACUGAAGACAUCGAUGGAGUGGUUGGUGUACGUCGAUUGACCUGUAUGGUGGACGGAGAAAAGAAGUUCACGUCAUCCAUGCUACUGUUCUUUGAUGAAGAGUCUCUCCUUCUCAUAUAAAGUUAGGAUUCAUGAGAUACCCUGUAAGCGUUUGUGUCAAGUGUGUGCAGAAGGGAAGAAUAUCGUAUGCCAGAAGAAGGGAAAUGCUGCAAAUGUGGAGGUGAACAUGCGCUUGAAUUCUUGGAGUGCCCUGGUGAAUGACAAUGAGGUGGCAAGGGUGAGGAGUGUUUUGCGUGUCUCCUAUCCGGAGGUGAUGAGAAAAUUGAAAGGAACGAGUGGCGGCGAAGAUGGUAAUGGUACCACGACCAGUGAAAGUUUCUCAUCAACGGAGGGAUAGUAAAAUGCUAAAUGUUAAAAAGGUGGACUUCUUAUUAUUAAACUGUACCGCACAGUCAGAGAAUUCGAAGAAAAUUGGAAUUGGACGUUUUAUUUUGUAUGAUAUCAUUUUCCCCCUUUCCUGGAAUGUUUUUUAAGUUUCUUAUUGAGUACCCCAACCAGCUCGUGGCGGUAAUGCACCAUUAACAUUGGAUGCCAACCGCCGUUAAACCCCAUCGAAGAAGUUUUCUGGGCUUGGACUUGAGCGGAGAAAGUCUCUGUGGGAAUCGGACCCCUAUGCAAGUGGCCAUGUGUUAUGUGAUCGCACUAACCCAGUGUCUGCGGGAGGAGAAGUUUUACUGGUGUAACAGUGUUGCUUCCGUCCCUCUCCUCGCCCCUACCUGGGCUCGAACCAGGGACCCUCUGCACAUCAUCAUUGGUACAACGCACAUCUAGGAACUUUAGCUCCGCCAAGUAAUGGACGUGAUUUUUCCUGUAUUCCUUCAGUUUGAUGGCGUUUGCUGUCUCAACUAAAUACUGUAAAGUAACUUCAGUUUGAUGGCUUGAUCGUGUGUUUGCAGGUGAGGCUGACAGGGUCAUAUUCCUCUCAGUAAUGGUAGGACUGCUCCUGCUGGCUCUAUUCGGCUUUCUGCUGUGGAUGGUAACACAAUGUGAUGCAUCAAGUACCCUGUGGCUAAGACGUACCACAUCAUGCAUAAGAACACAGAGGAACGUCACCCCAUUAGAGACUCCUCUUUGGGUCCAACUGGAUAGGCACAGGAACUUUUAUACACUUCAAUACAAUUAAUUGAACAAAAUAGUGAAAAAGCUAAUUUUAAGAUUGUGUAUUGUGGGGGCUAAACUCAUGACUAUGAUUACAUUUCCAUUAUUAGCAGCAUCUAGGCUGUCCACUUUGAAGAGCUGAGACAGCAUGGCUAUAUAAGGAAUGGAACAUAUAGGACCAAGGCCCGCUACCAUUAUAACAUAUACAUCUGUCAGAUGUGGGCGUUAACAAGCAAGAACUGAGACGGAAGAUAAUGGUGGAGAAAGGUCAAGGGAAGCUAUUUCAUAUAGAGGGAGGGGAUUAUAUACGUUAUGCAAAGACGGAAUACUAUAAAGGCAGGGCUCUGUGAUAUGAGAAUUGAGCUUUUUCCAUGGAAUUGCUCGGCUGUUACUCUGUAAUAAAGUCUAACUGAAUCUAAGUUCCGGUAUCGGUGCAAAUAUUUGACUCAAUAUUUUUCCACAACAGUAUGUACACCAAUGUUUACAAGCUUAGCAACUCUUUUGAAGAGCCCCCCCAAAUAUACAUAAUUUCAUGGUUUUCCCUUUUUUAACUUGUUUGUUUUUUAGUGGUUGUAUUGAUAUCAUACUGUACCUGUGAAUCUGUCUGACUGCCAUGUGGAUAUUAAUACAAAAAUGAACACUAACAUUAUCCCCACUAGUAGCAAGAAUAAAGUUACCAGAAGAGACUUGAAUUCUGAAAACAGUAAAAAUUGAUUUACAGGCACAACAUUUUCUUGACAGUUUAAUGAAACGGAGUAAUCUAUUUCCCAAAAUUGUUACAUCUUAAAGUUGUACUAUCCUUUUACAGUAAUGGAAUGUGGUAUCUUAUAUGGGAGUGUUGAUAUGAGGUCAUAGUGGUUCCACUAACAGACUAGAAACCAAACUUUUUUUGAAUAAAAACAAAUCGCCAUA